rnacentral:rRNA from 1 species
UGGGGAAUAUUGGACAAUGGGCGAAAGCCUGAUCCAGCCAUGCCGCGUGUGUGAAGAAGGUCUUCGGAUUGUAAAGCACUUUAAGUUGGGAGGAAGGGCAUUAACCUAAUACGUUAGUGUUUUGACGUUACCGACAGAAUAAGCACCGGCUAACUCUGUGCCAGCAGCCGCGGUAAUACAGAGGGUGCAAGCGUUAAUCAGAAUUACUGGGCGUAAAGCGCGCGUAGGUGGUUUGUUAAGUUGGAUGUGAAAUCCCCGGGCUCAACCUGGGAACUGCAUUCAAAACUGACUGACUAGAGUAUGGUAGAGGGUGGUGGAAUUUCCUGUGUAGCGGUGAAAUGCGUAGAUAUAGGAAGGAACACCAGUGGCGAAGGCGACCACCUGGACUAAUACUGACACUGAGGUGCGAAAGCGUGGGGAGCAAACA